rnacentral:rRNA from 1 species
UACGUAGGGUGCGAGCGUUGUCCGGAAUUACUGGGCGUAAAGAGCUCGUAGGUGGUUUGUCGCGUCGUCUGUGAAAUUCCGGGGCUUAACUCCGGGCGUGCAGGCGAUACGGGCAUAACUUGAGUACUGUAGGGGAGACUGGAAUUCCUGGUGUAGCGGUGAAAUGCGCAGAUAUCAGGAGGAACACCGGUGGCGAAGGCGGGUCUCUGGGCAGUAACUGACGCUGAGGAGCGAAAGCAUGGGGAGCGAACAGGAUUAGAAACCCCAGUAGUCC